GAGAGAGGGUCCCGGACCGAAGAUGGAGUCUCGCUCUGUCACCCAGGCUCGAGUGCAGUGGCAUGAUCUCGGCUCACUGCAACCUCUGCCUCCCAGGUUCAAGUGAUUCUCCCUGUCAGCUUCCCAAGUAGCUGGGAUUACAGGUGUGGGCCACCAUGCCUGGUUAAGUUUUGUAUUUUUGAUAGAGAUGGGGUUUCACCAUGUUAACCAAGCUGGUCUUGAACUCCUGAUCUCAAGAGAUACGCCCGCCUUGGUCUCCCAAAGUCCUGGGAUUAUAGAGAUGGGGUCCCAGUAUGUUGCUGCCUAGGCUGGUCUUCAACUCCUGGUCUCAAGCGAUCCUCCCAGCUUGGCCUCCCAAAGUGCUGGGAUUACAGAUGUGAGCCACUACAC
rnacentral:lncRNA from 1 species